rnacentral:rRNA from 1 species
UACGAAGGGGGCUAGCGUUGCUCGGAAUCACUGGGCGUAAAGCGCACGUAGGCGGAUAUUUAAGUCGGUGGUGAAAUCCUGGAGCUCAACUCCAGAACUGCCUCCGAUACUGAAUGUCUUCGAGUCCGGGAGAGGUGAGUGGAACUGCGAGUGUAGAGGUGAAAUUCGUAGAUAUUCGCAAGAACACCAGUGGCGAAGGCGGCUCUCUGGCCCGGUACUGACGCUGAGGUGCGAAAGCGUGGGGAGCAAACAGG